rnacentral:tRNA from 1 species
GCUGCGAUAGCUCAAAUGGUAGAGCAACGUUAAGUCAACCAAUGUGCCUAGUAUUAGGCAUAUACAGCAAUUUUAACGAUAGCAUGUUAAGCCGUAGGUUCUUGGUUCGAGUCCAAGUCGCAGCG